rnacentral:misc_RNA from 1 species
AAAGGAAGUAAGGAAAUUAAAUAUUAAAAUAAAUAACAAGAAUGAUUUCACUAAAAAGAGGCUCAAAAUCAUCAUAAGAACGAUUAAUAAAAUACUAGGAAGAAUUAAUAUCAUAAGAUAUAAUCAGUCUUCGACUAAACGAUAACUAGAAAAUUUUUACUUUUAAUACAUAUUAUAUUUUUUUGUAUUAUUGGCACCACUAAAUUUUAUGUUUAGAGCGCCGCUUUUGUAACGUGUAGGCACUGAAGAUUUGGCCUGAAAACCCAGUAAACCAUAGACUAGGAGAUUAGAAGU